rnacentral:rRNA from 1 species
GACGAACGCUGGCGGCGGGCUUAACACAUGCAAGUCGAACGGAAAGGCCCUGCUUUUGUGGGGUGCUCGAGUGGCGAACGGGUGAGUAACACGUGAGUAACCUGCCCUUGACUUUGGGAUAACUUCAGGAAACUGGGGCUAAUACCGGAUAGGAUCUGCUGCUGCAUGGUGGGGUGUGGAAAGUUUCGGCGGUUGGGGCUGGACGCGCGGCUUUUCAGCUUGUUGGUGGGGUAGUGGCUUACCAAGGCGUUGACGGGUAGCCGGCCUGUGAGGGUGACCGGCCACAUUGGGACUGAGAUAGGGCCCAGACUCGUACGGGAGGCAGAAGUGGGGAAUAUUGCACAAUGGGCGGAAGCCUGAUGCAGCAACGCCGCGUGCGGGAUGACGGCCUUCGGGUUGUAAACCGCUUUCGCCUGUGACGAAGCGUGAGUGACGGUAAUGGGUAAAGAAGCACCGGCUAACUACGUG